CAGCCCGCAGAGGCAGAUGAGCAGCGUGAGACCGUCUAUGGCCAUGCAGCAGCCUGGGGCCGACCUGCCGGCGGGUCCGAGCUCCCUCCCUUCCUCCGGCUCUCCUUGCCAGGAGCUUCUCGGGUGAGGAGAACCAGGGUCUCGACGUCCUCAGAAGAUCCCGAGCAGCCCGUCUCGCCUCCGAAGAGAGCUGCUCUGGUGGGGCGUUCCUGCAAGAUGACGGGCGAGGCGGUGAGAGAGCGCUGGGCAGUUUCAGAGCCACGAGGCUGCAUCACCCAGCCUCUCCUGGCCAAUUCCUCUUGGUCUUGCGGGAAAGGAAAUGUGUUGUCCGAGAGAAUACCCCAGAGGAUGGAUGGAUACUGCACCAUCUCCAUCUUGCUCUGAAGAAUCUCGAUGCUUUUAGGAUUCAACCUGAUAUCUCAUUAGACGGCCUCCCGGCAUGUGAAUCGCCGCUGUCUCGUCUCCAUCUUUGUCCUGCAUCUGGCCUGGGUGGGAAUUUGGUGUUCCAGACGUCGGUUCGGACUCGACCCGGGUGAUCCGGGGGCUGCUGGCCCCCCCCCUCCAAGCUGGGCUGGUGCCCACCGAGGGGGACGGAGCGGGUCGAUGGUAGGAGAGCGGAGGACGAGCCAGCCGUAGGGCUGGG